rnacentral:rRNA from 1 species
AGAGUUUGAUCAUGGCUCAGGAUGAACGCUAGCGGGAGGCUUAACACAUGCAAGUCGAGGGGCAGUUCCGUCUUCGGACGGAAGCGACCGGCGGACGGGUGCGUAACGCGUAUGCAACCUGCCUUAUGCAGGGGGAUAGCCCAUGGAAACGUGGAUUAAUACCCCGUAUUUCAACAUAUCUACAUGGAUUAGUUGGGAAAACUUUGGUGGCAUAAGAUGGGCAUGCGUCUGAUUAGCUUGAUGGUAAGGUAAUGGCUUACCAUGGCUACGAUCAGUAGGGGUCCUGAGAGGGUUACCCCCCACACUGGUACUGAGACACGGACCAGACUCCUACGGGAGGCAGCAGUGAGGAAUAUUGGGCAAUGGGCGAAAGCCUGACCCAGCCAUCCCGCGUGCAGGAUGACGGCCUUAUGGGUUGUAAACUGCUUUUCUGAGGGAAGAAAUCCCCCGACGUGUCGGGGCUUGCCGGUACCUCAGGAAUAAGCAUCGGCUAACUCCGUGCCAGCAGCCGCGGUAAUACGGAGGAUGCAAGCGUUAUCCGGAUUUAUUGGGUUUAAAGGGUGCGUAGGUUGAAAUGUAAGUCAGUGGUGAAAGGCUGCCGCUUAACGGUAGGACUGCCAUUGAUACUGCUUUUCUUGAGUAUGGUUGAAGUANGCGGAAUGUGUGGUGUAGCGGUGAAAUGCAUAGAUAUCACACGGAACACCGANUNNNAAGGCAGCUUACUAAGCCAUUACUGACGCUGAGGCACGAAAGCGUGGGUAGCGAANAGGAUUAGAUACCCUGGUAGUCCACGCCGUANNG